GAAUUUUGGACAAUGGGGGCAACCCUGAUCCAGCCAUCCCGCGUGUGCGAUGAAGGCCCUCGGGUUGUAAAGUCCUUUUGGCAGGGAAGAAAAGGCUCUGGCUAAUACCUGGAGCUGCUGACGGUACCUGGAGAAUAAGCACCGGCUAACGACGUGCCAGCAGCCGCGGUAAUACGUAUGGUGCAGGCGUUAAUCGGAAUUACUGGGCGUAAAGCGUGCGCAGGCGGUUCGGCAAGAAGGAUGUGAAAUCCCAGGGCUUAACCUUGGAACUGCAUUCUUAACUGCCGGGCUAGAGUAUGUCAGAGGGGGGUAGAAUUCCGCGUGUAGCAGUGAAAUGCGUAGAGAUGCGGAGGAAUACCGAUGGCGAAGGCAGCCCCCUGGGAUAAUACUGACGCUCAUGCACGAAAGCGUGGGGAGCAAAC
rnacentral:rRNA from 1 species